CCUACGGGUGGCAGCAGUGGGGAAUAUUGGACAAUGGGCGAAAGCCUGAUCCAGCCAUGCCGCGUGUGUGAAGAAGGCCUUCGGGUUGUAAAGCACUUUCAGUGGGGAAGAAAGCCUUGGGGCUAAUACCCUCGAGGAAGGACAUCACCCACAGAAGAAGCACCGGCUAACUCCGUGCCAGCAGCCGCGGUAAUACGGAGGGUGCGAGCGUUAAUCGGAAUUACUGGGCGUAAAGCGCGCGUAGGCGGUCUAAUAAGCCGGUUGUGAAAGCCCCGGGCUCAACCUGGGAACGGCAUCCGGAACUGUCAGGCUAGAGUGCAGGAGAGGAAGGUAGAAUUCCCGGUGUAGCGGUGAAAUGCGUAGAGAUCGGGAGGAAUACCAGUGGCGAAGGCGGCCUUCUGGACUGACACUGACGCUGAGGUGCGAAAGCGUGGGUAGCAAACAGGAUUAGAUACCCGAGUAGUC
rnacentral:rRNA from 1 species